rnacentral:lncRNA from 1 species
UCCUAUAAUUGCUCUGAUAUGUCUUAUUGCAAGUUCCCUGAUCGUUUCUCCUAUAAUUGCUCUGAUAUUUCUUACUGCAAGUUCCCUGAUCGUUUCUCCUAUAAUUGCUCUGAUAUUUCUUAUUGCAAGUUUCCUGAUCAUUUCUCCUGUAAUUGUUCUAAUCUUUCCUAUUGCAAGUAUCCUGAUCUUUCCUCACUGCAAUUUUAUCUCUACAUUUGCUUUGAAUAUGAGGAACUUUGAAUUGUUCUAACCUUGUAUUUGAUUUAUCUCCUGUUUAGACGUAACGAUUCGAAUCUGUGCAACUUUUGAGAUUCUGACCUUUUGAUACCGAGCUGCCUAUAAGUCUUUGUUGGAAACUCUGAUUUGUUCAAAACUAAUUUCAUUGGAAACUAGACUCGUAGAUCUUUCUUUGAUAUAUGAAUUGAAAGAUUUGGAAUCCAAACACCUGCCCAGUUAUCUAUUGAAUCUGACAUUACGAAUUCUGCCAAACAGAGAUUUUGUUCUACGACCCUUGUUUACCAAAUUAUUUGUAACUCUCUCUGUUGGAUAGUUCAAUUCAUAUGAAGCCUGUCUUAUCUGAAAGUAUUAUCCAAUGAUUAUUUCUGAGUAAAUUGGAGCACGAUUGAUAGUUUGAAUCAUUUGUUCAAUGUGCCUCUUGUAUUCUGCUAGAAAUCGAGCUUUGGUCGAUUUCUCAUAUUCUCGUUUCAUUCCUUUGGAAAUUGAUAUCCUUUAGCUUUCUUAUUUGAAUUGAGCUAAAUAUGAUUGUUUGGAAUCCCUGUAUACUCUUGCUUUCAUUUCAUUCCAAAUCUGAAUACAUUUGUGAGAGAUUGUUGCUUGCAUCAUAUUUGACUCGUAAAGGUACAUGUACGUUUGUUGUUCCGCGUGUGCUUCCGAUAUAUGCUAUUUAUUGUUCAUACUGCCCUUUUGUACUCUGGUGUUUGUGGGACUGUCUGGACCUUUGCCAGAAAUGGUAAAGGGUGUUAUUCUGGACCUUUGCCAGAAAUGGUAAAGGGUAUGUGCUUAGAGCCUACGAUGCUCUAGAUUAUGUCUGGUGGUCAUUCAGAAAUGGAUGUAUCACGUUCUGUUUGAGGUCCCACUACACCAUCUAUAUGUUUGAUAUGAUAUCCAGAGCUUUGGUUAUGUGUUUUUGUACAUGCUCUGGAUAAGAAUGAUAUGAUUGCAACGUCAAGGACGACGAUCGAGCUUUGGUCGAUUUCUCAUAUUCUGGUUUCAUUCCUUUGGAAAUUGAUAUCCUUUAGCCUUCUUAUUCAAUUGAGCUUUAUAUUACUGCUUUGAAAUCUUGUAUGCUCUUGUCCUUAAAAUUAUUUGCAUUCUUGAAACUAUUGUGUAACGUUUAUGCUAUAUCGUAUUGACUCACAUAGGCACAUGUGUAUCCCAUUGUUCCGCAUUUGCUUCCGAUAUGUGCCUAUUCCAUUUCAUUCCUAAUAUGAAUACAUUUGUGAGAGAUUUGUUCCUUGCAUCAUAUUGUCUUGAAAAGGCACAUGUACGUUUUGUUGUUCUGCGUGUGCUUCCGAUAUAUGCUACUUAUUGUUGAAACUGCUCUCUUGUACUAUGGUGUGUGGGAUUGUCUGGACCUUUGCCAGAAAUGGUAAAGGGUAUGCGCUUAUUGCCCACUAUGUGGGGUCCCGCUAUGUGGGAUAUUCUGGACCCUUGCCAGAAAUGGUAAAGGGUAUGCGCUUAUUGCCCGCUAUUUGGGGUCCCGCUAUGUGGGAUAUUCUGGACCUUUGCCAGAAAUGGUAAAGGGUAUGUGCUUAGAGCCUGCGAUGCUCUGCCGGCCCCUCUGACUUCACCUAGACGUGGGUGGAUGGAGCUCCCAGACGUGGGAGACUUUUGUCAGGUGGUCAUUCAGAAAUGGAUGAAUCACAUUCUGACUGAGAUCCCACUACACCUUCUAUAUGUUUGAUAUGAUAUCCAGAGCUUUGGUUAUGUGUUUCUGUACAUGCUUUGGAUAAGAUUGAUAUGUUUGCAACGUCAAAGAUGACGUUUGAGCUUCUGAACGGUAUUUGUUAUUGAUAUGCUCUGAAAUGUUUCAUCCACUGUUGAUAUGUUUCGAAAUGUUCCAUAUGU